AAGGAUUCCGUGGAGCUUGGUAUACUGGAACUAUCAUUGAGCCAGUUGGGGAGAAAUUCCUCAUAGAGUACGAUCAUUUGAGGUCAGAUGAUGAUACUGAGCUUCUGAAGGAAACCAUAGAUCCUCUCUACAUUAGGCCUAUUCCUCCAGCAACACCUGUAAAUGAGAAGUUCAAGAAGCUUGAAGAAGUUGAUGCUCUCUACAAUGACG
rnacentral:misc_RNA from 1 species